rfam:Dacryopinax sp. DJM-731 SS1 chromosome Tnknown DACRYscaffold_16, whole genome shotgun sequence.
GACAGGAUGGUGUAGUGGUUAUCACGUUUGUCUUACAAGACCAGGCCUCAUAACUUGAGAUCUUUGCACACAAACGGUCGAGGGUUCGAUCCCCUCUCUUGUCA